rnacentral:rRNA from 1 species
CCCUUAGAUGUCCUGGGCCGCACGCGUGCUACACUGAUGCAUACAGCGAGUACUUUCCAGCUCCGCGGGGCAGCUGGUAAUCAGCAAUAUGCAUCGUGCUGGGGAUAGAUCUUUGGAAUUAUAGAUCUUGAACGAGGAAUUCCUAGUAAGCGCAAGUCAUUAGCUUGCGCUGAUUAAGUCCCUGCCCUUUGUACACACCGCCCGUCGCUCCUACCGAUUUCGAGUGAUUCGGUGAACCUUUUGGACAGCGUCUGUCCUCGUGUCAGAUGCUGAAAGUCAAGUAAACCAUAUCACUUAGAGGAAGGAGAAGUCGUAACA